rnacentral:tRNA from 1 species
UGUGACUCAGCGGUAGAGUGCUUGUCUAGCAUGCAAAAGGCCUUGAGUUCAAUCCUCAAUAGCACAA